GACGAACGCUGGCGGCGUGCUUAACACAUGCAAGUCGAACGGAAAGUGCUCUUCGGAGUGACUCGAGUGGCGAACGGGUGAGUAACACGUGGGUGAUCUGCCCUGCACUUCGGGAUAAGCCUGGGAAACUGGGUCUAAUACCGGAUAUGACCACGCGCUUCAUGGUGUGUGGUGGAAAGCUUUUGCGGUGUGGGAUGGGCCCGCGGCCUAUCAGCUUGUUGGUGGGGUAAUGGCCUACCAAGGCGACGACGGGUAGCCGGCCUGAGAGGGUGUCCGGCCACACUGGGACUGAGAUACGGCCCAGACUCCUACGGCAGGCAGCAGUGGGGAAUAUUGCACAAUGGGCGCAAGCCUGAUGCAGCGACGCCGCGUGAGGGAUGACGGCCUUCGGGUUGUAAACCUCUUUCAGCAGGGACGAAGCGCAAGUGACGGUACCUGUAGAAGAAGCACCGGCCAACUACGUGCCAGCAGCCGCGGUAAUACGUAGGGUGCGAGCGUUGUCCGGAAUUACUGGGCGUAAAGAUCUCGUAGGUGGUUUGUCGCGUUGUUCGUGAAAACUCACAGCUUAACUGUGGGCGUGCGGGCGAUACGGGCAGACUGGAGUACUGCAGGGGAGACUGGAAUUCCUGGUGUAGCGGUGGAAUGCGCAGAUAUCAGAGGAACACCGGUGGCGAAAGCGGGUCUCUGGGCAGUAACUGACGCUGAGGAGCGAAAGCGUGGGGAGCGAACAGGAUUAGAUACCCUGGUAGUCCACGCCAUAAACGGUGGGUACUAGGUGUGGGUUUCCUUCCUUGGGAUCCGUGCCGUAGCUAACGCAUUAAGUACCCGCCUGGGAGUACGNCGCAGGCUAAA
rnacentral:rRNA from 1 species